rnacentral:rRNA from 1 species
AACGAACGCUGGCGGCAUGCCUAACACAUGCAAGUCGAACGAGACCUUCGGGUCUAGUGGCGCACGGGUGCGUAACGCGUGGGAACCUGCCCUUAGGUUCGGAAUAACUCCCCGAAAGGGGUGCUAAUACCGGAUAAUGUCUUCGGGCCAAAGAUUUAUCGCCUUUGGAUGGGCCCGCGUUGGAUUAGCCAGUUGGUAGGGUAAAAGCCUACCAAGGCGACGAUCCAUAGCUGGUCUGAGAGGAUGAUCAUCCACACUGGGACUGAGACACGGCCCAGACUGCGACGGGAGGCAGCAGUAGGGAGUAUUAGACAAUGGGCGAAAACCUGAUCCAGCAAUGCCGCGUGAGUGAUGAAGGCCUUAGGGUUGUAAAGCUCUUUUACCCGGGAUGAUAAUGACAGUAACGGGAGAAUAAGCUCCGGCUAACUCCGUG